rnacentral:lncRNA from 1 species
CAUACUGAAACUUUUUUUUUAAAUGAUCUCUGUGUUUCACUCCAGGAGGCGUUGCAGGCCUUGGAACAAGAUGUGGAAAAGCAGAAGGUCUGCUGGGAGAAUGAGGUGCUCCAACUGAAAGAAUACAACCAGGAGAUAGUCUCAGAAAUGGAGACUAUCAAGCUCCAAGUGGAGAAGCUUCAGACCCAGCUGUCAAGUAAAGACAGUGAACUGGAGAAGCUUGCUCAGCACGACAAAGAAAGGACACAUCUGUGGCUCAAACAAAUUAACUGGGAGCACCGUGUCAAAAUAACUGAACAGGGGAAGAAGCUUGAGUGGACCGAGGAAAUUAGGAGGGAGAAAGAAACUGCCUUGAGGAAGAAAGAAGAGCGCAUGCAGGAUGAGGUGUCUGACCUGACAAGGCUACAUAGAUGCAACAUGGACAAUCAGGUUCUCCAAACUGAGAAAGAUGAACUGCAAGAUAAAAUCUCUAACCUACAAAAGGAGAACAGUAAACUGAGCUUACUGACUCAGCAACCUUCAGACCAAGGAGAUGCUAGGAACAAUUCAGGCCUUUGCUAUGGAAACCCAUAUCUAGCACAAAACGAAAACAUGUUUAUAUCUGCUACACGGGCCCCCUUAAACUAAGAAUGAUUGUGAGAAUUAUCAGGUAAGAAUUACAUUUACAAUGUCCAGUCUGUUUGCGUUUGUAUUUGUAGCUAUCCUAAGUGAGACCUAGCCUAGUGUACCAAGCCACUUAAAAUUUAUCAACCUAAAAAGUUCCCAAACAACUUAAGCUUAAUUAUAGUCUGCAACCUCAUCGGAAACAUGGAGGAAAUAUUACCUAAUAUGUAAAGUUCAGGCAAGCAGCUUCUAAAAGUUAGGGAAGUGAUAGACAGUUGACUGCCUGGACAGUCACCAAAGGUUUCUCUGUCCUUGGAGCGUCCAAUCUUCAGCCUACCUUGCCCAUAAUAUCUGACAGGCUUUUCUGUAAAGCUGGAAAUUUGGAAGACUGGCCUACCUAAUUUUUGUUCAGUGGCUCUUGUGCCACAUUUGUUUCUUUGAAGUAAAUUGGACGUGCUGCUAGGAGCAGAUGUAUCUCUGACAGAGAAGCCUUUUAUUAUUAAAAUCUUUAAAUGUCACAUUCUGAAGCAUUUGAAGGCCAUUUAUCUAUUUACCAUUACAUGGUGCACAGUCACCUAUCUCAUAUCUAAAUAGAUGUUGCUUGUUUCUAGCUAUGUGCUGUCUGUUUAUAAUCCUGAAAACACGUGGAAGAGACUAGCUUAUUUCUGUAGUUAACUAAACUAGUAUCUAACAACUCCAGGUAAGAUAGAUGACUAGCUCCUAAUUUGCAGCUCCAAUCAUCCUGAACAGUUUACAACAGUUGGCUACAGA